rnacentral:rRNA from 1 species
UGGGGAAUAUUGGACAAUGGGCGCAAGCCUGAUCCAGCCAUGCCGCGUGAGUGAUGAAGGCCUUAGGGUUGUAAAGCUCUUUCACCGAUGAAGAUAAUGACGGUAGUCGGAGAAGAAGCCCCGGCUAACUUCGUGCCAGCAGCCGCGGUAAUACGAAGGGGGCUAGCGUUGUUCGGAUUUACUGGGCGUAAAGCGCACGUAGGCGGUUUGUUAAGUCAGGGGUGAAAUCCCAGAGCUCAACUCUGGAACUGCCUUUGAUACUGGCAAGCUAGAGUCCGGAAGAGGUAAGUGGAACUCCUAGUGUAGAGGUGGAAUUCGUAGAUAUUAGGAAGAACACCAGUGGCGAAGGCGGCUUACUGGUCCGGAACUGACGCUGAGGUGCGAAAGCGUGGGGAGCAAACA